GCUCACAUUGACGGUUUGGUCUCAAUGUUCAGGAAGUGUCAGUGGAUGUCAGUGGGUGCCAUUUUUUCCUCCUACACGGAGGAAUUCAGUGACACACCCUCGUUUCAUACACGCUUCCAUGUCAUAUGCCAUUUUGUCAGACUGCCCCUCUGCUGCCAUCUGUCACACGGCAACAAAAUGUAACAGGAUAUUGGUGGGAAGGUUCAGCCUCUACUGACAUACCAACAAUGUCUGUGUCUGACCUCACAGACCAACGUAAUAAAACAGGAGGCGUUCCUUUCAGAGCAGCAGUAAAAUUUAUCUGGACAGUGGGAAUCAACAGUGAUCCGGUGUGCUGCUGAAGACAGGAAAUCAAAAUCUGUCUGGAUGGUCACUUAGUGGUUUCACAUGGACACUUUUUGGGUAUUGAAAGGAAAGGCUAUCAUUCUGAUGCGCGGCAGAAUUGUACUGAAAGGCAGACUGAAUUGUACAAUAGUUAACUGACCUAUUUAAAGUUGUGCGGUAUCUUCAGUGGUACAUCUGAAACUAGAUCUCUGUUCAUCUCACCCUGAUGUCUGCAUGGGGACCAAUGAAAUGACUUUCCUUUUUUACAAAAAAGUUGAAUAAUGAAUGAAGUUCCUACCUCCUAACUUUGUAGUACAAACUGUUGAAUCGUUACAGAUCUUUCAGCGUUACCUUUAGGGAGACUGGGAACUACCUUCAAAAACCUCCAAUUAUAGGAAGGACCUUAAGCCUUUGUUUUGCACAAACAUCGUCCUUAAAUUCCCUUGUGUAACCUCUACUGCAGUUAGUGGAUGUCUUCUAAAUUCUAGUGACAAGAUAAGUGAGUGGCACUGAAUAUCAGAGAAAGUCUUACAAAUCUGUAAGUCACGAGUAAAUAGCUUAGCAUCCUUCUGGGCCUAAAUUCUCACUUUUUGGAUGAACUCACAUGGUGUGGGUUCAUGAGCUUGCAUAAAUGGCACCGCGCUGUGGGAGGAUACAAGAGUGAGUGCUUUUUUAAAAACUCUGAAAUAAUUAACGUGAGUGCGGACCUUAAACUGUACAGUGAGAGCUUAAACAGACAAACUACCCAAACUUCAGCUAGCUGAGCCAGCACUGUGUGAAUUCCAGUUUCUUGUUUUUGUAACAAGGCUUUACUUUGCUUACAGGUUACGUGCAUAUCUCACAAAACUAAAUUACAGUAAGAUGUGGUUGGAACUAAUUAGUUUCUCGUUACAUGUAGAUUUAACAAAUCUGAGGACUAUGCAAUGCUGAAUUUAUGUCGUAACCAUGGUUUAAAAAAAAGGUGCAUGUCAGAACUGGAUGUCAAAAUGUGUCAUUCACUGGUUCUGCACGUGACAUUGCCACCUCCCUUUCCACAUUCUCCUCUGAGGCAGGCGGGACAGCUUCCUUCCAUAAGCAUCUUCCUCAAGAAUAUUGCAAGUUAUUGCCGCUCGUACUUCUCUGCUCGUACUGCAGCAGCAGCAGCAGCAGCGUCAUGGUUUGUAUGCUAAGAACAGCGGCCACAGGGGUCUACCCAUCUGUUUUUGUCCAGUGCAGCUUCCCGCAUGACUGACAUCCCUUAGUAUUUCUAGGGACCUGAAGACGCUGCUGAUUCACAGUAAUUGUCACCUUGGCAUUAUGAAAGGAGUCUGUAACGCUGAUAGGAAAUUUUCCCCGGGAUAUCAUUAAAGAUGGUGUAAUCUGCAAGCUAGCCCAAAAUAAGUUUGUGAGCAUAUUAUAUGGUGAAAAUCACCUUCUUUUCUGUAGUGUGUCUUGUAGUGGAAAUCUUUCCAAAUCAUAAAUGAAAUUUUGUUACAGAUUCCUUGUAGGGGGCAUUUAACAAUAACAUAAGCUUCAACUGAGCCCUUUUAUGGUAGAUAUGAGGUGUUAUACGUAACCUUCUUAGGAGCUUUGCCUUCGCUGCCUUAUACGGGGAGAAUAAUAAUAAUAAAGUUAUAUCAACUUGGUAGCCAAGAAAAAGAAAUGUUAUCACAGCAAGUUAAAUAUUGUUCUAAAGAGCAUUUUACUAACAAAACGGGACAUAGUAGUUACUGUUGGUCAAUUAUAAAUGUAGUAUGUCCUGAUAAGCUGAUGAGAAUGGGAUAAGUGGGCAAUUACCAUUUAAAAAAAAAAAAAAAAACUGAAGUGCAAGUAAAAUCGAUGGAAACAUACAUUAUCUUGAAGUAAGUAGUAACUGAAUUACAUCCUCCAGUAUUAUGUUCAUCUUUACGAGGCACAAGUUAAAUUUCCUUUUAAAAAAUUCUUAGCAUAUGUCUUCCUCUCCCUCAGUCUUUUGUUUUCAGUUGUCCCGGUUUCUGUAAGAAAGAUUGGUUUUUGCAGGGGGGAAAAAAAAGGUCAUCCAGGUUCUGUCAAAUUCUCUUCAAAGAGGAGUUCAUGCUCAGAUGAGGAUAUGUUUUCUAAAAAUUUUGAACAUUUUUUAGAAAGGGGAAACAAAAUAAUAUUAUAUUUGAGAAUAUUUGCUCUUAUUCUGCUCGUGAAUUAGUCUCAAACAGACUGAAAUUUAGGAAUUCAUUGUUAUUCAAAAUUACUCAAAAAUAGGUUGUGCAAAGAUAGACUUGCUGUUCACUGGGUCUUUUUCUAACACUUACCUAAAUCAUAUUCCAUUGUUUCUUUACUUUGAUUAGAUCAUUAAAACAUUUAUAAAUCUGAUAAAGGGUAAUUGGAGACUUUCUAGUGUUGAGUUCUUGAGGUUAUCGCUGAGAAGUAGAAACUAACAAGUCCAUCCAUUAUUGAAAAAUAAAGUUGAAUAACAAAUACUUAAUCAAAUGUCAUUGACAACAUCAUAACCUUUCAUUUUUGAAAGGAAUGGGUGUCUGUGACGCAAACACACAGCAGCUCCAAAAGUAAUGCCUUCUAUUUUACUGUUUUUGGCCCACAACGUCAGAGGUGGAUGUUGGUGGUAUGGCAGUAGAGGCUGAACCUUCUUGGCAAUAUUCCAUUACAUGCUGUUGCCAUGAGAGAGCUGUCAGCAGAGGGGCAAUCUGACAAAAUGGCGUCUGACAUGAAAGUGUGUGUGAAACCAAGAGGUGUCAUGGAAUUCCUCAAUGUGGAGAACAAUGGCACCCACUGAUAUUCUUCAAUACUUGCUGAACACUGAGAUGGAGCAGUGGACGUCAGUGCAGUGAGGCGGUGGGCGGUGUGUUUCAGCAGUGGUGAUGGUGGGUCAUCUCUCUUUCAUUGCUGGUGAAAGUGCAUAGCUAAUUGUGGUGACUGUGUUGAAAACUAGUGUUUUGUGUCUGAGAAUUCUAUCAAAUAAUGUUAUUGUGCUCUUUCAUCUGUUGGAGUUUUCACAGAAAUACCUAGGAAGCACUACUUUUGGAGCAACUAUGUAAUUUUUAUAAUGUUUCAAUUAGUUCAAAGGGAGAUGCUGACUCUGGACUGCAGCGCAGUAUGUUUUCUGUUGCUCAGCUGCUGUAAAGAGAUGACAAAAUAAACUCAAUCAGCUCCAAGGGAUAGCAUUAAAGCCUGUUCAGAAUAGAGAAAGUGCUUUACAUGUCUUCUAAGGAUUGUUCUUUAGGGAUCAGAUUAAGGGUGGAAGUGGUCACAGCCAAAGCGCUUCUAUUGGCAGAAGGAUCAUAGUGCAGCCUACGCAUUGGAACUUUUUAACAGCUGUCUAAUGUAGAUCAGAAGCACGGACUAUUUCUGAGGACUUACUGUUUCCCCUGAAGAAAGUUCCGCACGCGUUUCUUUGAAGAUUCUAAGGGAGCCCUUGAUUAUAGAACUCUCUGGUUCACUAAGUACUUUAAUGAUGCUUUUUGUUUUGAAGAAGCUGCAAUUUAAAAUAAAGCCCCGCUAUUAUGUUUCCACCAUGGGAAUAUGGAGCACUGCAAGUAACUUCUCUGUACCGAAUUGGCACUUUGUUGGCAUGAAGAUGACAUGCAUAGUGUUCCCAGUAUUGGAUACAACUGGAUGUUUAUCAAGUUCUUUAGGUAGUUAUAUAUAAAUUUCAUGGACGGUAAGCUAGUGAAAGGUCACAGGUGGAUGGAACUGAUUAUAUUUUCCUCCCAAGAAAAAAUAAAUGUCUCUUGCUUUUUCCUGAAAGUGCAAGGACAAAAAAGAAGAAAAAAAACUCCACAAAAAUCCCCCCGAAAUAAUUCCACAAUGACUUGCAUAUCCAUCACUUUGGGUAAAUAUGCACAAAUUCAUGUUCGAUCUUUCUCUUUACUUCUCUAAUCCUUAUAUUUACAGAAGUCCCAAGUAUAGAUUCAAACUUCUGAUUCUGAUAUAUUUUUCCAUAGCUGGUUUCUUCUUGGCAAGAAAUGUUGCACUGUCAGCUUGUUUUCCAUUGGUGGAGUAAUUUUACUUCUCCAUUGUAUCUAACGCACAAAUUUGAGAAAACCAGACAUGUUAAGUAAGUGAACAGCUAUGAAUGGAGAGUUUAGGUUUGCAGUCUGCUGCACUGAAGUAAUGAAUCCUUUAAAUGAUCUCUUAAUGUUAAAGAUAAGAUCGUAGCCUACAAUGUGGAAGAUGAUCUCAGGAUGCACUCUUCAGCGUGGAACUUGACAAUCUUUGAGGUCCCCUCCAACCCAAGCCAUUUUAUGAUUCUGUGAUAUACGAAGUCAGAGGUUUGGUCUUUGUUCUGUAGAAGUGGUUCUUACUUUAUCCCAGCCAGAUUUUUCUGUAAAUUGCUGAAUGUGUAAUGUAGAUAAACUUUCUGGUGCUGUUUUAAAUUAUAAUGAUUGUUCACCUUUGUU